CAGGGAAGGAGAGGAACAAACGGAGAACGAUUGGAGCCUUGAGAGAGGCUGCCCAAGGAAAGGGCUAAAUUAGAAGAGAAGGGAGGGGAAGGCGGCGAGAGGCUGCAGAGCCCGCGUGUGGUGCAGGCAGGCACUCCAGCAGCUCCGUGUCUUCCAGAGACAAAGGCCCGAGGAUGAGGAAGAGGAGGGGGAGCAGGCAAGGGAGGCAGUGGCAGGGAGGGGAGGCCAGGCAGCCUGGACGCCGAGCUCAGGCCCCAGACCCAGGCAGGCGAGAGACCAGCCCCCAUCUAGCCAAGGCUCGAGCCUGGGAAGAGGGGAGUGCGCUCCAAACUUAAGAGGAAAAAGUCUGCCAGCUGCCCUUGGGGCUGCCACGACAGAUAAAACCUCAUCCAGGCGCCAGAGAACACCCUGCACACGAAUGCACAGCAGCGAGCUAAAAAUACUGGCUUGAGAGGGAAGAGGGGGGGAGGAGGGGGCAGGAAAGAAGAGGAGGAGGAUGGGGAGGAGGGAGGAGGAUGGAGAGGAGGUGGCGAGCAGGGAGGAGGGUGGGGAGGAGUUGAGGAGCAGGGCUGCAGGUCCAGGCUUAGGCAGCCUCAGUUUUCCAGAGAACCCAGUUUUGCAGAGGCGCAGAUGCAGACGGAUGACUGCUUUGGGAACUGCAAACCACUGGCCCCUGCGGCCCCUCUCUUGGACGGGGGUGAGGUCACUGGAAGAGUGGGCCUAGGCUGGGGCCUGGCUGCUUGGAGAAGACCCACCAGCGACCUAGCAGGGCUUAGAGCUGGGGCUGGGCCCCGACAUUCCAAGUCAAUUCAGGACUCUCCUGGAGGAGAAGGGACCCAGAUUGUCCCCUGGAGUCACCGGCAUCUACGGCGACCUUCCCCAGCCGGUCUGCCCUGGAUCCUGGGGAUAGAGGGACAGCAUGGCAGGAAGUAGCCCACGCCACCUGGACAGGAACAAACCCACAGCCACCCGAGGAAGAGAGAGAAUGCCUGCAUGAUAAUCGUGGGGGCGGGGGCUCAGGGAGGCCUCUUUGAGGAGAUGGUCUUAACAUCUGAGAACCGAGAAGAAUUCAGCCUCACAAAACCCAGGGACCCGCGGUCCCCAGGAGGGAGAUGGGGCUGGGAGACGCAGUGGAGUGGCCAGGCCAGGAGUGGCCCGCAGGAUUGGAGCCCAGGCCUGAACCUGGCAGGCCACCAGGGAGUCUCCUGCUUGCCCCAGAGCCAGUGUCAGUGAGAGCUGGGUGGCGGGGCCAGCGGGAGGCUGAGGGACCCAGGGUCCGGGAGUGUGGGAAGUGAGAGCAGCCUCUCCUUGGUUCCUCGGCAGCCCGGGGCCUCACCCCUGCAAGGUCUGGGUGGCCACCGCUUGCAGGGCCGUCCCUCUGGGAGUGGGUAGAGGGGACAGGGGACCCUGGGACAACCUUUGCCCCUCCGAAGGCAAGGCCUUGUCAGGUUCAUGCUCCAGCCCUUUCCCAUCUGGGCUCCUCCUGUGUGCUGGGAGCACGUGGCCUUGUGAGAAGAGGGCAGCCUGGUGGAUGGGCGAACACAGCACAGCGAGGUCUGAGCCCCCGGCUGCUCUCUCCAGCCCUGAGAACGCAGGCUGCUCCAUAAGCUCUGUGGGCCUCAGGCUCCUGGUCUCUAGAAUGCAGCCAUGGGCAGGCUACCCAGAAGUGAGAUGCCUGCCAAAAAAAGCCCUGUGCCCAGCCCACAGCCAGCACUUGGUUCAUUGGGCCCCAGCUCAAACCCCCCCUGAGAGGCCUGCCCUGAGCACCAUCCCUGUCCCUGUGUGCCCUUUCAGUCACAUUUCAGCAGCACGCAGCCACCCACCAAGGCUGAGCCUCUUCAAAUUCGCUUCGAUGUUUGCCGCGCACUGACUCAGGUCUCCAGGCCUCAGUUUCCUCACCUGCGAACUAGGGGCGGUCUCUGGGGACUGUUCUAAGGUGAGCUGGAGGCCACAGGCUCUGGCCUGGAGCACUUCGCUCUCCGUGACUCUCUUCUCCUGACGUCUGUGUGUCCCCUCACGUCUCAUGGUACCGCGUCUCCUCCGCAGGGCCUGUCGUGUGUGACGCUGUGUGCCACCCCACACAUCUUCAGCCCCGGAGAAAGAUUCUGGUGGUGGAAGCUGUUGAGUAAAUGCUCACUUGAGUUUCUCCCACUGCCUUGGAGUCCCUCUUCUGUUUUUCUCCAAAUUCUCUUUGUUGACAGAGUACACAGUUCAAAACCCCACACAGGGAUGAACGAGAGGACGCCCAGGUCCAGCCCAGCAGUGGCUUCCUGUCCCCUCCACCUCUCUCUUUCCCUCUGCCACUGCCAUCUACCGGGACGCUCUUCCUGGGCCCCUGUGGGACAAGGACUGCCUGUGGCUGAGGUCCCCUCCAUGCAGAACAUACAGCACAGGUGUGUCCCAAAGAGGAACAGAGAGAAGGAGGAGGAGGGUCCAAGAGAGACUUGGAAAUGAAUGCCAGGAAGCUCAGGCGCUGGACGUGCGUUUGGGGCGCCUGGCCUUCCUUGUGUAUUUCUCCUGCUGUCUGUAUAACCAUUUAAUGCAAUAAACGAAAACCAGCCCUCGUU